CAGUCGCCGCGGUAAUACGAGGGGGGCAAGCGUUGUUCGGAAUUAUUGGGCGUAAAGGGCGCGUAGGCGGUUUGGCAAGUUUGGUGUGAAAUCUUCGGGCUCAACUCGAAGUCUGCACCGAAAACUGCCGGGCUUGAGUAUGGGAGAGGUGAGUGGAAUUUCCGGUGUAGCGGUGAAAUGCGUAGAUAUCGGAAGGAACACCUGUGGCGAAAGCGGCUCACUGGACCAUUACUGACGCUGAGGCGCGAAAGCUAGGGGAGCAAACAGGAUUAGAUACCCCGGUAGUCCCUGUCUCUUAUAC
rnacentral:rRNA from 1 species